GACGAACGCUGGCGGCGUGCUUAACACAUGCGAGUCGAACGGAAAGGCCCUGCUUUUGUGGGGUGCUCGAGUGGCGAACGGGUGAGUAACACGUGAGUAACCUGCCCUUGACUUUGGGAUAACUUCAGGAAACUGGGGCUAAUACCGGAUAGGAGCUCCUGCUGCAUGGUGGGGGUUGGAAAGUUUCGGCGGUUGGGGAUGGACUCGCGGCUUAUCAGCUUGUUGGUGGGGUAGUGGCUUACCAAGGCUUUGACGGGUAGCCGGCCUGAGAGGGUGACCGGCCACAUUGGGACUGAGAUACGGCCCAGACUCCUACGGGAGGCAGCAGUGGGGAAUAUUGCACAAUGGGCGGAAGCCUGAUGCAGCAACGCCGCGUGCGGGAUGACGGCCUUCGGGUGGGAAACCGCUUUCGCCUGUGACGAAGCGUGAGUGACGGUAAUGGGUAAAGAAGCACCGGCUAACUACGU
rnacentral:rRNA from 1 species